rnacentral:tRNA from 1 species
GGGGAAUUAGCUCAGAUGGUAGAGCGCCUGGUUCGCAAUCAGGAGGUCAGGGGUUCGAUCCCCCUAUUCUCCACCA